UGGGCCAAGAACAUGGUGUUUGGUAAAAUCUCUAAAAGCUGCUUUUGGUUGAAAUUGCUUCUCUGUAAAGCUGAAUUUGGGAAGCUACAAUUUGUAGCUUUUGAAGACCUGCUUUGGGAAAACACGGAGCAUGAACAGUAGAGUUUAAUGAAAAUUUGGAGAACUGCAAAUUCUGUCCUCCUCCUUUUUCUGAAAAUUACAUCGAAAAACAGCAAACCCUAUCUUUUCUCCAUCGCGAGAGGCAGACGUCUCAUUCCACAUCUCCUCCUUCCUCUUCUUCGGUGUCUGGUUCUCCCUAGUCUUCUCUCAGAUCGCCUUCUUCUUCUGCUCGUCACUGGUGACCUCAUUCAAUUUGUGGAUUGUCGCUGCCUUCCUCCGCGCCGUCUUCUUCAGCUCGUCGUGGAUUCUCGCCGCCUUCCUCUGCGUCUUCUUCUUCAGCUCGUCGGUGGUGACCUUCAAUUCGUGGAUUCUCAUCAUUGAAAGAUGUACCAGAUAGUGCUUUGAUUCUGAGGAAACAUGGACUGAGGAGCAAUCUAGUCUCCUGCCUAAGGGACCAGUGGUGGUGAAUCUAAGGGAGGACCCAAAACUAAAAAGACCAAAAGGGCAGGCAAUGAUUUGUUGUAUGCCAAUGGCAGCUGUUGCAGUAAGUGUCAGAGGUAUCUUUUGGAGAUGUGGGGGGAAUCCCCUGGUUGAUUUUGUCUGUACCAGAAAGAAGGUGAUAGAAAAGGAAUAAAACAGAUAAGGAAGAAGCAGGGAGAGGAUAGAAUAAAGAAAGAAUAGAAAAUAAAACAAAGGCCAAGCAACUACUAUUUGUGAAAGCAAGCAAUGCAGAGUUGUGGGAGAAUAUAGGUUUAAGAAGCUUGCUUACACUGACCUCUGCGACCAAUUUGAAAAAGAAGAAAAUGAAGGCACUUAUUCCUCAGGUCACACAGAUUAUAUAUUUUGGAGGGCUUUCUAUGUUGUGUGUUGGUCCAAUGAUGUUGUGUAGUAGUUCAAUCGAUAUCUUUGGCAUAGUUUCAAUCCAAUUCAGGUGUAACAAGAACAUUUUCAAGGUGAUGUUGGAGUUAUGAGUUUGGCAAAUGGAUACUCUGACCUCAAAACUGCCGACUUGUGCAGUUGUGUUCUUAUAACAGGACCUACGAUCGGGGAAGAUGAUUGGGACGGGAACUGAAUGGGAGAGUCUCUACUACUUAGACGUUUCCAAAGGUGCUCAGUGCAACUCAGUCAAAACCCCUAAAUCCAAUCUCUGGCACCAGCGCCUUGGGCAUCUAUCCAAUAAAGUGUUGCAUUCCCUUUCAUUUUCGGUUAAUGAAAUUGAAUCAUGUGAUGUUAGUGAUUGUUCCAUUUGUCCGUUAGCCAAGCAAACUCGAUUGCAAUUUCCCUUAAGUUCUAUUUCUAGCAAUGAACCUUUUGAAUUAAUAAUUCAUGUUGACAUUUGGGGUGGUUAUAAAGUUGCAUCUCUUUCUGGAGCUCA